CUUAGGUGGCUUGGAAACGGAUUCCUUGAUCUUGUGGAGGCAAUUUUGAGUGCAUUCAUGAUAGGGAUUAGAAGCAUAUACACAGUCUGGAAUAACUCUUGGAUUCUUCUGAGCCAUCUCUAUGCAAGUGUCACCCUCUUCACCUUUGAUACAAACCAACCUAAGGGUAACUGUUACAUCCAAGCCAAUAAACAAAAAACUCAAAUCAAACAACAAUUACACAUAUAUCAUAUCAUCACUAUACACAAGAAAAAGGGUAAGACAUAAAUUCCCACCCAAAUCUGAAAAAGACAAGCAAAAGAUAAAUAAAAAAUAAAAUUUUCAAUUCAUCUUUUAUACAAUCGAUAUUCAAUGCAUGAGAACAAAAAGAAAAUAAAAAAAAAAAAUAGCAGAGUCCAAUCACCUGAAUCAUCACACCAUUGGACUCCAUCAACUCAUAAAAAAAAAAUUUAUUUGAAUGCAUAUUUCUUAUCGAAAAACAGUUUAAAAAAAUUGAAGAAACACAAGAAAAAUAAAACAGCAUUUACAGGUGAUAUUAAAAAGAAAUAAAAGAAAGACAUACAGCAAAUAGAGCAACCCAUGAAAUUAGAAAGAAGAAACAAAGAAUGAAGAAUGAAAAAAAGAAAGAUAGAAAAGCAGGUACGUACGUACCUAGAAGAGGCAGGAAGUCAAAGACGAUGGUGAUGAGGAAGUUAGUAGGUGCCACCAAUUUUCCAAAUGAAACAGUAACAGGUUUGUUGAGAUAUGUGUUUGGUGUUAAUAAUACUAAUGAAUGAAUGAG
rnacentral:lncRNA from 1 species